rnacentral:rRNA from 1 species
GACGAACGCUGGCGGCGUGCCUAAUACAUGCAAGUUGAACGCUGAAGGAGGAGCUUGCUUCUCUGGAUGAGUUGCGAACGGGUGAGUAACGCGUAGGUAACCUGCCUGGUAGCGGGGGAUAACUAUUGGAAACGAUAGCUAAUACCGCAUAAUAGUAGAUGUUGCAUGACAUUUGCUUAAAAGGUGCAAUUGCAUCACUACCAGAUGGACCUGCGUUGUAUUAGCUAGUUGGUGGGGUAACGGCUCACCAAGGCGACGAUACAUAGCCGACCUGAGAGGGUGAUCGGCCACACUGGGACUGAGACACGGCCCAGACUCCUACGGGAGGCAGCAGUAGGGAAUCUUCGGCAAUGGACGGAAGUCUGACCGAGCAACGCCGCGUGAGUGAAGAAGGUUUUCGGAUCGUAAAGCUCUGUUGUAAGAGAAGAACGAGUGUGAGAGUGGAAAGUUCACACUGUGACGGUAUCUUACCAGAAAGGGACGGCUAACUACGUG